GGGCCAUUACCUCUAGGGGGUUAAAGCCCACCCCUGAAAAGGGGGAGGUCCCUGGGUUCAAGUCCAGAAUGGCCC
rnacentral:tRNA from 1 species